CCACCUCCCAUUUCUCAUCACUAAUAUGCUUUGAUAAAGUGAAUAAACGGGGUGUUGGCCACGCUCAUUUACGGCUACUCAGGGCCUCGGUCGCCGUCCCUCGGACGCAGACUCUUGUAGAUUCUUGGCUCCGCCAACAUUCUGCUCCGGCAGUGUCUAUCCGGCCGACCCUGAAUCCUCUCUCGUAGAUACUUGGCUCCGCCAACAUUCUGCUCCGACAGUGUCUACGUUUUUCUUUCCGUAGCCUCUCACUUUGUGGUCGGCACUCCCCCGUACCGCAAGUUGCUGUGUGUUGUAGUGAAUAUGCGUGUGCGUGUGCGUGCGUGUGCGUGUGUGUAUGUGCGAGCAUGCAAGUGUCUGUGUGUUUGUGUGUUGUCUGUUUCGGUUUGUGUGUUUGUGUGUACGUGUGUUUGAGCAUGAUAGCAUGUGUGUAUUUUUAUCUGUGUGUUUUGUUUGUUUGCGUGUUUUGUGUGUGUAUGUGUGUAUAUGUGUGCGUAUGUAUCUGUAUGCGUGUGUGUGUGUGUGUGAGAGCAUGUCACCGUGUGCGUGUGUGCAUGCAUGUACGUACGUAUCUGUGUGCUUGUGUGUGCGUGCGUGCGCAUUUGUGCUUGAAUACUCAGGCUCUUCUGAUGCUGGCAGCAUGCUUCUGUGGCAGCAUUCAUUGUGUCCAGUUUUUACUCUGGUGUGAUCCGUCGCUCUUGAAUGGCAAAGUUAUGUUCAGUCCCUUUAGUGAGACACGAAGGUACUGCCAACUAGCAUCACUUCUACAUGUCUGCGCGGCCCGUGGACAUAAAGCACUGUGUGAGCUGCUGAUGAGAAAAGGCAUAGCAGUUAAUGUCCAAAAUGAGGGUGGUGACACACCAUUACAUCUUGCGGCCAAACGUGGUCAUGUUUCUGUAGUAGAAUGUCUUCUCACUUCUGGACAUUCGUUGGAACCAAAGACGAAU